rnacentral:lncRNA from 1 species
AAGAGAGAGAGAGAAAGGGAGAGAAAGAGCAAGAAAGAGAGAUAAAGACAGAAAGAAAAAAAUGUAAGAAAAUGAUGCUUAGUUGACUAAGGAAAGAAUCACUUUUCUGCCACGUUUCUUAGAAGAUCUCUUCAACUCUUCAGUCAUUUGGCUGCUUAUUGUCAAGUGUUCCAUCUUGACUGCUGUCUCCUAACUCGAUACUUCACACAGUUGGUUGAGUUGUCAUCCUUUCUAGUCUCUUCUUUCCAGUGCAUCACAAUCCCUUCAUCACAUGGAAGGUAUCUCCUGAAGCUAUAUACUUAUUCCUCUGAGUGCAACUGUACUGAGGGAGCAAAUACUUCCCUUAAAUCGUUCCUUUUUGAGUAGCUUUCCUAGGUCCCAUCUCACUGUCUCUCGAUCCAUUGUUUACAUGGCUUCCAUCUACCCCUUCAUUAUAG